rnacentral:tRNA from 1 species
AGUACGAUGGCCGAGUGGUUAAGGCGUUGGACUUAAGUUCGAAUGGACGAGCGAGUGUCCACGUGGGGUUGAACACCACUCGUGCUA